rnacentral:rRNA from 1 species
GAUGAACGCUGGCGGCGUGCCUAAUACAUGCAAGUCGAGCGAACAGACGAGGAGCUUGCUCCUCUGACGUUAGCGGCGGACGGGUGAGUAACACGUGGAUAACCUACCUAUAAGACUGGGAUAACUUCGGGAAACCGGAGCUAAUACCGGAUAAUAUAUUGAACCGCAUGGUUCAAUAGUGAAAGACGGUUUUGCUGUCACUUAUAGAUGGAUCCGCGCCGCAUUAGCUAGUUGGUAAGGUAACGGCUUACCAAGGCAACGAUGCGUAGCGACCUGAGAGGGUGAUCGGCCACACUGGAACUGAGACACGGUCCAGACUCCUACGGGAGGCAGCAGUAGGGAAUCUUCCGCAAUGGGCGAAAGCUUGACGGUGCAACGCCGCGUGAGUGAUGAAGGUCUUCGGAUCGUAAAACUCUGUUAUUAGUGAAGAACAAAUGUGUAAGUAACUAUGCACGUCUUGACGGUACCUAAUCAGAAAGCCACGGCUAACUACGUG